UUGCGCUACCUGGUUGAUCCUGCCAGUAGUCAUAUGCUUGUUUCAAAGAUUAAGCCAUGCAAGUCUAAGUAUAAGCUAAUUUAUACGGCAAAACUGCGAAUAGCUCAUUAUAACAGUUAUAAUCUACACGAUGAUCGUUACCAAAUGGAUAUCCAUGGUAAUUCUGGAGCUAAUACAUGCAACAUACCACACUGGAAACGGGAUGGUAGCAUUCAUUAGUAUCAGACCCAGCCACAACUUGUUUGUGAAGUGGUGAUCAUAAUGACGGAGUGGAUCGCGCUAUGCGACAGUUCGUUCGAGUUUCUGACCUAUCAGCUCCCGUCGGUAGGGUAUUGGCCUACCGAGGCUGUGACGGGUAACGGGGAAUUAGGGUUCGAUUCCGGAGAGGGAGCCUGAGAGACGGCUACCACAUCUAAGGAUGGCAGCAGGCGCGCAAAUUACCCAAUCCCGACACGGGGAGGUAGUGACCAGAAAUAGCAACGCAGGGCACAUGCUCUGUGAUUGCAAUGAGCGGAAAGCAAAAUUGUUUGCGAGUAUCUAUUGGAGGGCAAGUCUGGUGCCAGCAGCCGCGGUAAUUCCAGCUCCAAUAGCGUAUAUUAAAAUUGCUGCAGUUAAAGCGUCCGUAGUUGAAUUUCGUCCAUUUAGAUAGUUACGUCUAUUUUCCCUCGGGAAAUGCUGUUUCUAUCGCAUUGGACUAGGAGUGAAACGACAUAUGUCGGUCCACUCCCGUUACUUUGAGCAAAAUGGAGUGCUUCAACCAAGCUAAAGCUUGAACAGCUCAGCAUGGAAUAACAAGAUAGGACUUCGAUUCUUCUUGUUGGUGUCACGAAUCGAAAGUAAUGAUUGAUAAGGACUUACGGGGGCAUUUGUACUUGCUGGAGAGAGGUGAAGUUCUAAGACCCAGCAAAGACAAACAAGUGCGAAAGCAUUUGCCCAGUAUGUGCCUGUUAAUCAAGGACGAAAGUUGGGGGAUCGAAGACGAUUAGAUACCGUCGUAGUCCCAACUAUAAACUAUGCCGACUGAGAAUCGGUGGAAGUACUUUUAUAACUCCUUCGGCACUCCAAGAGAAAUCUAAGUUUUUGGGCCCUGGGGGGAGUAUGGUCGCAAGGCUGAAACUUAAAGGAAUUGACGGAAGGGCACCACCAGGAGUGGAGCCUGCGGCUUAAUUUGACUCAACGCGGGGAACCUCACCAGGCCCGGACAUAGUCAUGAUUGACAGAUUGAGAGUUCUUUCUCGAUUCUAUGGGUGGUGGUGCAUGGCCGUUCUUAGUCGGUGAGGUGACUUGUCUGGUUAAUUCCGAUAACGGACGAGACCUCGACCUGCUAAAUAGCUUUCUUUCACAUUCGUGAGGGUUAGGCUUCUUAGAGGGACUUUGGGAGUUUAUCCCAAGGAAGUUCGAGCCUAUAACAGGUCUGUGAUGCCCUUAGAUGGCCUGGGCUGCACGUGCGCUACAAUGACAGAGACAGCGAGUAUAUACCUACUCCGUAUGGUGUGGGAAAUCUUGUGAAACUCUGUCGUGAUAGGGAUUGACCUUUGCAAUUAUGGGUCAUGAACGAGGAAUUCCUAGUAAGGACAAGUCAUCACCUUGUGCUGAUUACGUCCCUGCCCUUUGUACACACCGCCCGUCGCUUCAACCGAUUGGAUGAUCCGGCAAAUUACAUGGACUAUUAUUGUAGAAGGCUUCGGUCUCACAAUAAGAGGAAGUGUCGUAAGCCUUAUCAUCUAGAGGAUGAAGAAGUCGUAACACGGUAUCCGUAGGUGAACCUGCAGAAGGAUCA
rnacentral:rRNA from 1 species